UACGAGGGGGGCGAGCGUUGUUCGGAAUUAUUGGGCGUAAAGGGUGCGUAGGCGGUUUUGUAAGUCUUAUGUGAAAUCUAUGGGCUCAACUCAUAGACUGCAUGAGAAACUGCAGGGCUUGAGUAUGGGAGAGGUGAGUGGAAUUCCUGGUGUAGCGGUGAAAUGCGUAGAUAUCUGGAGGAACACCGGUGGCGAAGGCGACAUCCUGGACCGGUAUUGACGCUGAGGCGCGAAAGCGUGGGGAGCGAACAGG
rnacentral:rRNA from 1 species